ACUGUAACCCAGAGAGGACACUAGAGAGGACAGGCAACCAAAGUACAACCUGGCUGUGAUGUCACUUCUCACCUUGUAACCAUCUCAGGGUGCGUGUGUACCUGGGCUACAGGCUGCCUUCGCCACAUCACGUGAUGCUGAUGACAACUUUACAAUGAUCGAUAGUCAACCUCCUCCUGAUGUCUUCUGGCACCCUCCCUCAUCCCCCUUUCUCGUAAACCAAAUCCGCAAGAAGAGGAAGAGAAGAAGGUGUUGGUAUUCUUUGCUGUUUCCAUGGAGAAUCGCUUGUGACCAUCACUCCGCUGGCGCCACCUGUCCUGAGCAUCUGCCAACAGAAAUGCAGGCCACCUCGUCAAGCUCAGCCUUUCAACUCAAAUCUCAAUUUGUGAUCACAUCAUCGAUGACGAGGACGACGACGCCGCUGCUGCUGUAAGGGGUGUGGUGGUGGAGGGGAAGGAGCUGUGCACGAGGGAGAGCUGUGGAUGAUGGCGGUGACGGAGUGGAGGGGAAAAUCGAUGAAGAUGAAAGAGGAAACAGCAAACGGCAGAGCAGUUACAGCCAACAGCUUCUCACUGCUGGCAAGUCGGCAAACACCACAGACAUGUCCCCCCGACUUGUCCCCCCACAACUCAUUGAGCGAGUUUACAGGCAAAUGCUAAAUGAGGGUAAUUAGGGGAGGAAUCGAGGAGAGAGAGAAAGAGAGCCUUUUAUACAAUCUACAUUAAAUGGCAAGAGCAGAAAAAAUAGUGGCUAUAAUAAACCUGCUCUUAAAGUUUGAAAUCAUUACGGUUAUUUUUCUUUAAAAAAAAAAAAAACUGUUCAGUUCAACUGGAAAAAACUGUUCACUGAGUUUAACCAGAUUAUGGGUAUCGCCUUCAUCAAGAAGUCGGGUAGAAAAUAUUUCUACUCACACUCGCCACGGAUUUUAUUCUACACACUUCACACAAACAUCAUUGACAUUUAUGUGUUUUAUUUAUUUAUCUUUGCUUUAUUGUUUAUUUCUUUAUUUUGAAAAACACCGACAUCGCACAGUUCAUGUGUAUCCACUAAGAACCUGUGUGUAAGACUUGUUUGUUUACUUCGCGAGGUUGAUGUUUA